rnacentral:rRNA from 1 species
GACGUAGGGGGCGAGCGUUGUCCGGAGUUACUGGGCGUAAAGGGCGCGCAGGCGGCCGCACCGGCCAUCCGUGAAAGCCCCCGGCUCAACCGGGCGGGAGCGGGCGGUACCGUGCGGCUGGAGGGCGGCAGAGGCCGGUGGAAUUCCCGGAGGAGCAGUGAAAUGCGUAGAGACCGGGAGGAACACCCGCGGCGAAGGCGGACGGCUGGGCCGACCCUGACGCUGACAGCGCGAAAGCUAGGGGAGCGAACGGG